UGGAAACAAAUGCACGGGGGUGUUUUCUUUGGUGGAUCCACAGUGCCUUCCCACCCCCCGCUCCUACCGCUGUCCCAAAUUUGGACUUUCACGGAAACGGAUUUCAUGCCUGGGCUUCCCGUGAACUCUCUUAAUUCAAUUGAGGGGCCAUUAUCGGCCGGGUGUAAUGGGCUGUUUCCGCAGCCGGGGGGAGGCCUGUGGAGGUGAGGGCUGGGUGCAUCUCUCCUCUGUAGGUGGGGGCCAGGCCGGGUGGGAUGACGGUCAGGGGAAGGACGGGGCUGAAGUCCCUGCCCUGGCAGGUGCCCGCAGGGGCACGGGGGAGGCCACGGCUCCCUUGAAUGGGGGGCUCCAGGCCCACAGCGGCAGGAGGCAGAGGAACCGGCAGGAAGCCCUCCAGGGACCAGCCCAGGAGCUCCCACUUCUGCCCUCCUGGCACUGAGACUGUGAGCAGCCCUGCCCCCCACAGUCGGAGCUCUGGGGGCACAGAACUGGCACAGGGGCUGACACAGCUCAGCGUCCUGGGGGGUUGCUGAGGUGUGUGGUGGGGGGCAGGGGUCCCGCACAGUUCCUCCCGGCAGAGGGGCUCCAGGCUGGAUGUCCUCGCCUGGGUGGACGGGCUGGGAACAGUGCGGGAACAGGCCUGAAGAUCUGACCGUGGCCUGGGCCAUGCUCAGCUCCCCCC
rnacentral:lncRNA from 1 species